rnacentral:rRNA from 1 species
CCUACGGGUGGCAGCAGUGAGGAAUAUUGGUCAAUGGACGAGAGUCUGAACCAGGCAAGUAGCGUGAAGGAUGACUGCCCUAUGGGUUGUAAACUUCUUUUAUAUGGGAAUAAAAUGUUCCACGUGUGGGAUUUUGUAUGUACCAUAUGAAUAAGGAUCGGCUAACUCCGUGCCAGCAGCCGCGGUAAUACGGAGGAUCCGAGCGUUAUCCGGAUUUAUUGGGUUUUAAGGGAGCGUAGGUGGAUUGUUAAGUCAGUUGUGAAAGUUUGCGGCUCAACCGUAAAAUUGCAGUUGAAACUGGCAGUCUUGAGUACAGUAGAGGUGGGCGGAAUUCGUGGUGUAGCGGUGAAAUGCUUAGAUAUCACGAAGAACUCCGAUUGCGAAGGCAGUUCACUGGACUGCAACUGACACUGAGGCUCGAAAGUGUGGGUAUCAAACAGGAUUAGAUACCCUGGUAGUC